rnacentral:rRNA from 1 species
UACGGAGGAUCCGAGCGUUAUCCGGAUUUAUUGGGUUUAAAAGGGUGCUCAGGCGGGCCAUUAAGUCGGCGGUGAAAUUUUUGCGGCUCAACCGUAAAAGUGCCUUCGAUACUGGUGGUCUUGAGUGUGGAUGAGGUAGGCGGAAUUUGUGGUGUAGCGGUGAAAUGCAUAGAUAUCACGAGGAACUCCGAUUGCUAAGGCAGCUUAUUAAGCCAUAACUGACGCUCAAGCACGAAGGCGUGGGGAUCAAACAGGAUUAGAUACCCGUGUA